CCUACGGGAGGCAGCAGUGAGGACUAUUGGUCAAUGGACGAGAGUCUGAACCAGCCAAGUAGCGUGAAGGAUGACUGCCCUAUGGGUUGUCAACUUCUUUUAUAUGGGAAUAAAAUGUUCCACGUGUGGGAUUUUGUAUGUACCAUAUGAAUAAGGAUCGGCUAACUCCGUGCCCGCAGCCGCGGUAAUACGGCGGAUCCGAGCAUUAUCCGGAUUUAUUGGGUUUACAGGGAGCGUAGGUGGAUUGUUAAGUCAGUUGUGAAAGUUUGCGGCUCAACAGUAAAAGUGCAAUUGAAACUGGCAGUCUUGAGUACAGUAGAGGUGGGCGGAAUUCGUGGUGUAGCGGUGAAAUGCUUAGAUAUCACGAAGAACUCCGAUUGCGAAGGCAGUUCACUGGACUGCAACUGACACUGAGGCUCGAAAGUGUGGGUAUCAAACAGGAUUAGAUACCCGGGUAGUC
rnacentral:rRNA from 1 species